UAAUACAUGCAAGUCGAGCGGACAGAUGGGAGCUUGCUCCCCUGAUGUUAGCGGCGGACGGGUGAGUAACACGUGGGUAACCUGCCUGUAAGACUGGGAUAACUCCGGGAAACCGGGGCUAAUACCGGAUGGUUGUUUGAACCGCAUGGUUCAAACAUAAAAGGUGGCUUCGGCUACCACUUACAGAUGGACCCCGCGGCGCAUUAGCUAGUUGGUGAGGUAACGGCUCACCAAGGCAACGAUGCGUAGCCGACCUGAGAGGGUGAUCGGCCACACUGGGACUGAGACACGGCCCAGACUCCUACGGGAGGCAGCAGUAGGGAAUCUUCCGCAAUGGACGAAAGUCUGACGGAGCAACGCCGCGUGAGUGAUGAAGGUUUUCGGAUCGUAAAGCUCUGUUGUUAGGGAAGAACAAGUACCGUUCGAAUAGGGCGGUACCUUGACGGUACCUAACCAGAAAGCCACGGCUAACUACGUGCCAGCAGCCGCGGUAAUACGUAGGUGGCAAGCGUUGUCCGGAAUUAUUGGGCGUAAAGGGCUCGCAGGCGGUUUCUUAAGUCUGAUGUGAAAGCCCCCGGCUCAACCGGGGAGGGUCAUUGGAAACUGGGGAACUUGAGUGCAGAAGAGGAGAGUGGAAUUCCACGUGUAGCGGUGAAAUGCGUAGAGAUGUGGAGGAACACCAGUGGCGAAGGCGACUCUCUGGUCUGUAACUGACGCUGAGGAGCGAAAGCGUGGGGAGCGAACAGGAUUAGAUACCCUGGUAGUCCACGCCGUAAACGAUGAGUGCUAAGUGUUAGGGGGUUUCCGCCCCUUAGUGCUGCAGCUAACGCAUUAAGC
rnacentral:rRNA from 1 species